GACGAACGCUGGCGGCGUGCUUAACACAUGCAAGUCGAACGAGAACCUUAUCAGUGGAAACUUCGGUAGAAACAGAUAGGAGGAAAGUGGCGAACGGGUGAGUAACGCGUGAGCAACCUGCCUUACACAAAGGGAUAGCCUCGGGAAACCGGGAUUAAUACCAUAUGAGACCCCGUUGGCGAGUGCCAAAGAGGUUAAAGAUUUAUCGGUGUAAGAUGGGCUCGCGUCUGAUUAGCUAGUUGGUAGGAUAAAAGCCUACCAAGGCGACGAUCAGUAACCGGCUUGAGAGAGUGAACGGUCACAUUGGAACUGAGACACGGUCCAAACUCCUACGGGAGGCAGCAGUGGGGAAUAUUGCACAAUGGGGGAAACCCUGAUGCAGCGACGCCGCGUGAGCGAAGAAGGUUUUCGAAUCGUAAAGCUCUGUCCUUGGAGAAGAUAAUGACGGUAACCAAGGAGGAAGCACCGGCUAAAUACGUG
rnacentral:rRNA from 1 species